rnacentral:lncRNA from 1 species
AGCAGCAUCUUGGGCUUGCGCCGCGGCCGGUACUUGUAGUCGGGGUGCUCCUUCAUGUGCAUGGCGCGCAGGCGCUUCGCCUCGUCGAUGAACGGCCGCUUCUCCGACUCGUUCGCAGGUCCGCGCUGGGGCUGCUCCCAAUUGCCCCUCUCCUGCAGCACCGUGGGCCCCUUUCCAGCCCAGGCCGCCAGCCGCCGCUCCCGAGGCGACAGGAGCCCUGUGCACGGGCUCAGGUUUAGGCGAGAGGAGACUCCGAGGCGCGCCGCCGAGUUUGCGCACUGUUUGGCUUCCGCCACCCCUGGGGUCGUCCCGGCGGCCCCGGCCGGGCAGAGCAUCGGAGGUCGCGGGUCUGGGAUCGGAUCCUCUGCCCUGGAGGAAGGAGGCGCGCACGUGGAGGAGAGCCUCACGCGGUUCGGAGGAAGAGGGGACGCAGCCCAGAAAAUGCUGGAGACUUUUCCUAGCAAGAAGAUUUUCCUCACUUCUUGGCAUGCUUGCAGCACAUCUUCUAACACGAUCAGUCUGGAAGUUUCAUUCACAAGUUGGCCUGCCCUUCAUGGGGAACUUGCUUGCCUCUUUGGCAGUGCGGAUUUGUCCUAG